rnacentral:rRNA from 1 species
GACGAACGCUGGCGGCGUGCUUAACACAUGCAAGUCGAACGGAAAGGCCCUGCUUGUGUGGGGUGCUCGAGUGGCGAACGGGUGAGUAACACGUGAGUAACCUGCCCUGGACUUUGGGAUAACGUCAGGAAACUGGGGCUAAUACCGGAUAGGAGCGCCUGCUGCAUGGUGGGGGUUGGAAAGUUUCGGCGGUUGGGGAUGGACUCGCGGCUUAUCAGCUUGUUGGUGGGGUAGUGGCUUACCAAGGCUUUGACGGGUAGCCGGCCUGAGAGGGUGACCGGCCACAUUGGGACUGAGAUACGGCCCAGACUCCUACGGGAGGCAGCAGUGGGGAAUAUUGCACAAUGGGCGGAAGCCUGAUGCAGCAACGCCGCGUGCGGGAUGCCGGCCUUCGGGUUGUAAACCGCUUUCGCCUGUGACGAAGCGUGAGUGACGGUAAUGGGUAAAGAAGCACCGGCUAACUACGUG